rnacentral:rRNA from 1 species
UGGGGAAUAUUGGACAAUGGGGGCAACCCUGAUCCAGCAAUGCCGCGUGUGUGAAGAAGGUCUUCGGAUUGUAAAGCACUUUCGACGGGGACGAUGAUGACGGUACCCGUAGAAGAAGCCCCGGCUAACUUCGUGCCAGCGGCCGCGGUAAUACGAAGGGGGCUAGCGUUGCUCGGAAUGACUGGGCGUAAAGGGCGUGUAGGCGGUUUACACAGUCAGAUGUGAAAUCCCCGGGCUUAACCUGGGAGCUGCAUUUGAUACGUGUAGACUAGAGUGUGAGAGAGGGUUUGUGG